rnacentral:snRNA from 1 species
AUACUUACCUGGCGAGGAGACACCACGAUCGCGAAGGUGGUUUUCCCAGUGCGAAGCUCAGCCAUUGCACUCGGAUGUGCUGACCCCUGUGAUGUCCCCAAAUGUGGGAAACUUGACCACAUAAUUUGUGGUAGUGGGGGACUGUGUUUGCACUCUCCCCUU